rnacentral:tRNA from 1 species
GCGAUCAUAGCUCAACUGGCAGAGCACCGCACUGUGACUGCGGGGGUUACCGGUUCAAGCCCGGUUGGUCGCC